rnacentral:rRNA from 1 species
AGUGAACGCUGGCGGUAGGCCUAACACAUGCAAGUCGAACGGCAGCACAGUAAUAGCUUGCUACUACGGGUGGCGAGUGGCGGACGGGUGGGGAAUACAUCGGAAUCUACUUUUUCGUGGGGGAGAACGUAGGGAAACAUACGCUAAUACCGCAUACGUCCUACGGGUUAAAGCAAGAGAUCUUCGGACCUUGCGUGAUCGAGUGACCUGAUGUCGGAUUAGCUAGUUGGCGGGGUAACGGCCCACCAAGGCGACGAUCCGCAGCUGGUGUGAGAGGGUGAACAGCCACACUGGAACUGAGACACGGUACAGACUCCUACGGGAGGCAGCAGUGGGGAAUAUUGGACGAUGGGCGCAAGCCUGAUCCAGCCAUGCCGCGUGGGUGAAGAAGGCCUUCGGGUUGUAAAGCCCUUUUGUUGGGAAAGAAAAGCAGCAGGUUGAUACACCGCUGUUCUGACGGUACCCAAAGAAUAAGCACCGGCUAACUUCGUG